GUACGCAUAGUUUAACAUAAAACUCCAGGCUGUGACUCUGAAAAUAGAAGCCACAAACUUCUUGCGCACC
rnacentral:tRNA from 1 species